GCGAACCGAGGGAACUGAAACAUCUCAGUACCUCGAGGAAAAGAAAUCAACCGAGAUUCCCCUAGUAGCGGCGAGCGAACGGGGAGCAGCCCAGAGUCUUAAUCAGCAUUAGCAUCAGGAGAACGGUCUGGAAAGGCCGGCAGUAAAGGGUGAUAGCCCCGUAUCCGAAGGUGUUAGUGUUGUGAACUCGACGAGUAGGGCGGGACACGUGUUAUCCUGUCUGAAUAUGGGGGGACCAUCCUCCAAGGCUAAAUACUCCUGAUUGACCGAUAGUGAACCAGUACCGUGAGGGAAAGGCGAAAAGAACCCCGGCGAGGGGAGUGAAAUAGAACCUGAAACCGUGUACGUACAAGCAGUGGGAGCACC
rnacentral:rRNA from 1 species